CACCCUGAAACAGGAGCGACAACACCCCAGUCGUUAGUUUACACGUUUACGAGCACGGCUAACAGGAGGUAAACACACUGAAUAGGAAGCACAACAUGUUCCGUAUUGGACUAAUGAGAGACAGUCGUUCAAACACAACAGAUGGACGUCACGUUCCGUCGAAAUCCUGAGUGGAGGCUGCUGCUGGUUCCCAAACUGAAGCAACACACACCUUGUGAACAUGAGCAGCCAAGCAUCAGAGCAGCACUUCAC